CUGAAAGAUGAUCAGGUAGAUAGGUUUGGAGUGGAAGUGUAGCGAUACAUGGAGCGGACAAAUACUAAUCGAUCGAGGACUUAACCAAAA
rnacentral:rRNA from 1 species